AGGGAAAGCAGCAGCGUGACUGAAAGAGUUGUUUGAAUCCAAGAAGAGACUGGGGUUAACUGUUGGAAAAUGUUAAGUAUGUAGAGCAGGCAUCCCCCCUGUUGAGCAGUCACACACUUAGACAGUACAAAAGAUGGUGUGUUAUUAUCUGGGGCAGCAGGGGUGGCCUGGUUUGUGCCACGUCGAUGGGAGCGG